GACGAACGCUGGCGGCGUGCUUAACACAUGCAAGUCGAACGGAAAGGCCCUGCUCUUGUGGGGUGCUCGAGUGGCGAACGGGUGAGUAACACGUGAGUAACCUGCCCUUGACUUUGGGAUAACUUCAGGAAACUGGGGCUAAUACCGGAUAGGGUCUCCUGCUGCAUGGUGGGGGUUGGAAAGUGUCGGCGGUUGGGGAUGGACUCGCGGCUUAUCAGCCUGUUGGUGGGGUAGUGGCUUACCAGGGCUUUGACGGGUAGCCGGCCUGAGAGGGUGACCGGCCCCAUUGGGACUGAGAUACGGCCCAGACUCCUACGGGAGGCAGCAGUGGGGAAUAUUGCGCAGUGGGCGGAAGCCUGAUGCAGCAACGCCGCGUGCGGGAUGACGGCCUUCGGGUUGUGAACCGCUUUCGCCUGUGACGAAGCGUGAGUGACGGUAAUGGGUAAAGAAGCACCGGCUAACUACGUG
rnacentral:rRNA from 1 species